AUUUAGCUGACAUGUCCCAAAUAGAAUGAAACACUCGUCAUGAAU
rnacentral:hammerhead_ribozyme from 1 species